rnacentral:rRNA from 1 species
CUAACACAUGCAAGUCGAACGGUAACAUUGAUGCUUGCAUCAGAUGACGAGUGGCGCACGGGUGAGUAACGCGUAUACAAUCUGCCUUUUACAGGGGGAUAGCCUUUAGAAAUGAAGAUUAAUAUCCCAUAGUAAGUUGUUAUUGCAUGAUAGUAACUUUAAAGUUUCGGCGGUAAAAGAUGAGUAUGCGUUCUAUUAGCUAGAUGGUGUGGUAACGGCACACCAUGGCGACGAUAGAUAGGGGCCCUGAGAGGGGGAUCCCCCACACUGGUACUGAGACACGGACCAGACUCCUACGGGAGGCAGCAGUGAGGAAUAUUGGACAAUGGGCGAGAGCCUGAUCCAGCCAUGCCGCGUGCAGGAAGACUGCCCUAUGGGUUGUAAACUGCUUUUAUACAGGAAGAAACCUUUUCACGUGUGAAAAGCUGACGGUACUGUAAGAAUAAGGAUCGGCUAACUCCGUGCCAGCAGCCGCGGUAAUACGGAGGAUCCAAGCGUUAUCCGGAAUCAUUGGGUUUAAAGGGUCCGUAGGUUGAUAAUUAAGUCAGGGGUGAAAGUUUGCAGCUCAACUGUAAAAUUGCCUUUGAUACUGGUUAUCUUGAAUUAUUGUGAAGUGGUUAGAAUAUGUAGUGUAGCGGUGAAAUGCAUAGAUAUUACAUAGAAUCCAAUUGCGAAAGCAGAUCACUAACAAUUAUAUUGACACUUGAUGGACCAAAAACCUUGGGGAGCCGAACANGGAUUAGAUU